GAAGGAGGAGGCAAUCGUUAUCCGGAAUUAUUGGGCGUAAAGCGUCCGCAGGUGGCGAUUCAAGUCUGCUGUCAAAGGUCGAGGCUUAACCCCGGGAAGGCAGUGGAAACUGAAUAGCUAGAGUGCGGUAGGGGCAGAGGGAAUUCCCGGUGUAGCGGUGAAAUGCGUAGAGAUCGGGAAGAACACCAGUGGCGAAAGCGCUCUGCUGGGCCUGCACUGACACUGAGGGACGAAAGCUAGGGGAGCGAAAGGG
rnacentral:rRNA from 1 species